CCUAUGAUCAAAUUUAAAUGGCUGCAGUAUUUUGACUGUGCAAAGGUAGCAUAAUAAUUAGUUUCUUAAUUAGGGACUUGUAUGAAUGAAUUAAUGAAAAAUUUAUUUUAUUAUAUUUAUUAUUAUAAUUUAACUUUUGAGUUAAAAUGCUCAAUUUUAUAAUUGGGACGAUAAGACCCUAUAGAACUUAAAAUUUAUAAUUUAUUUAUUAGUUAAUUUAGUUUUUUUUAUUAAAAUAAUUAUUUAUUUUUUGCUGGGGUGGUGAAUAUAAUUUUAACUUUAUUUUUUUUUUUCAUUAAUUUAUGUUUUUUUGAUCCGUAAGUUUGCGAUAAUAAGAUUAAGUUACCUUAGGGAUAACAGCGUAAUUUUAAUGGAAAGUUCAUAUUUAUAUUAAUGUUUGCGACCUCGAUGUUGAAUUAAGAUUAGAUUAAGGGGUAGGUUCUUUAAUAUUAGGUCUGUUCGACCUUUAAAUUCUUACAUGAUCUG
rnacentral:rRNA from 1 species